GGUUACCCAAGAAUGUGACUCAUUGGGUGUAUCCCAUACCUUAAGAUAUGUCUGCCACAGGUGGAAAACAGAAAAAAAAAAUAUAACUAAUGAAUUAAAAUAGGGAAUCACAGGUUAACGGAUUUUUAAAAAAAGACCUCACAAAUAUAAAAAAUUAGAUAUUGCAAAGUAUAAAUAAACAUCUAAAAUGAAAUUUUUUAAAUAUUUGCUUUAAGUUUCAAAACUAAUUUAUGUAAUUCUACACAAAUGAAUAUAAGCAAAGACUUGAAAUAGGUAAUUUUUGAGGAAAAUAGAAUUUUUACUCAAACUGACCUAAGCAGUGUUAGAAAGUCUACAGAAACUGAUUUAUAUCAAAGAAAUAGAGAAAAUUAUAAAAGAGCUCCCAUCAACUUCCAAAGAGGCAUUAGACUUGUACAGUUUCACAGAAAAAUUCCAAAAACCUUUUAAAGAUUAAAUGAUCCUUAUGCUACUUACACUAUUUUGUAUUGUAGGCAAGCAAAGGAAACUUUUAUUGUUUUUAAGCAAAGUAAUAUUAAUAUCUAAAUCCAAUUGAGUAUAUAAUAUAGAAUAGUUAUAAAAAUCUCACUUAUGAAAACAUCAAUUCAAAAAUCUUUAACAAAAUAUAAGAAGAUUUCAAAAGCUGAUGAACAAAUAAUAUAUAAUGUAUCAUUUAGGGUUUUUUGUUUUUGUUUUUUGUUUGUUUGUUUGUUUGUUUUGAGUAACAAACCAUUUGAAAACAACCUUCUUGGAGUUCCCGUCGUGGUGCAUGGUUAACGAAUCCGACUAGGAACCAUGAGGUUGCGGGUUCGAUCCCUGCCCUUGCUCAGUGGGUUAAUGAUCCGGCGUUGCCGUGAGCUGUGGUGUAGGUUGCAGACACGGCUCGGAUCCAGCGUUGCUGUGGCUCUGGCGUAGGCCGGUGGCUACAGCUCCGAUUCGACCCCUAGCCUGGGAACCUCCAUAUGCCGCGGGAGCGGCCCAAGAAAUAGCAACAAUAACAACCACAACAACAACAAAAAGAAAAGAUAAAAGACAAAAAAAAAAAAAAAA
ensembl:lncRNA